rnacentral:rRNA from 1 species
GAAACAGGGAGGUGCCCUCGAAAGAGGGAGCCAGGAGACAGGUGCUGCAUGGCUGUCGUCAGCUCGUGUCGUGAGAUGUUGGGUUAAGUCCCGCAACGAGCGCAACCCUUGUCCUCUGUUGCCAUCAGGUUAUGCUGGGCACUCUGAGGAGACUGCCGGUGACAAACCGGAGGAAGGUGGGGAUGACGUCAAGUCAGCAUGGCCUUUAUGUCUGGGGCCACACACGUGCUACAAUGGCCGGUACAAACCGUCGCGAUCCCGCGAGGGGGAGCUAAUCGGAGAAAGCCGGUCUCAGUUCGGAUCGCAGGCUGCAACUCGCCUGCGUGAAGUUGGAAUCGCUAGUAAUCGCAGAUCAGCAGGCUGCGGUGAAUACGUUCCCGGGCCUUGUACACACCGCCCGUCACAUCACGAAAGCCGG